rnacentral:rRNA from 1 species
UACGAAGGGGGCGAGCGUUGUUCGGAUUUACUGGGCGUAAAGGGCGCGUAGGCGGCCCGUUUUGUCAGGCGUGAAAGCCCUGGGCUCAACCUGGGAACUGCGCUUGGGACGGAUGGGCUUGAGUGUGGGAGAGGUGAGUGGAAUUCCUGGUGUAGCGGUGAAAUGCGUAGAUAUCAGGAGGAACACCUGUGGCGAAAGCGGCUCACUGGACCAUAACUGACGCUGGAUGCACGAAAGCUAGGGGAGCAAACAGG